rfam:Podospora anserina genomic DNA, chromosome 2.
GGGCAAUUGGUCUAGGGGUAUGAUUUUCGCUUCGCAUCCAUACAGCUGCGUCCUGUGAAAGGUCAUGGGUUCAAUUCCCAUAUUGUCCA